AGGCGAACAGCAGCAGCUCCAGGCGGCGACAGCUCGACUCCCGGCGAAGCAGCAGCAGCUCCAGCGGCUCCCGUCGACCCAAGCGGUGGCCGUGGUCUUGACGCGGCAGCGGAUCUGCUGCAAGGACGACGGAGGCAGCGGCGGCGGCGCACCGCUUUGACAGCGGCGUGCGUCUGCUGUACCUUGUUUCCGGCUGUCGUGAGAGAGAGAGCGGAGGCGACGGCGAGGCGGCG
rnacentral:lncRNA from 1 species